ensembl:lncRNA
CAUUUUGAAUGCUUAGCAGGACAUGAAAAUUGUCUAAUUCACACACUUAUCAAGAGAACAUCCCUGGUCAUCCCUACUGCCUCUGAUCUGGCGGACUCACUAAACACUUGCCUCAUUUGUAAAUUAUGAGUGUUGGAGUAUGCCCCUGGCUAUCUGUAAAUGUAAAAAACAAGAAAAUUGUGCCGUAUGGUUUGAUUUAAUUACAAGGAAUUUGAAAUAAUAUAUACUUUUACUUUUGAUAAGUAGAUUUAAAACCAAAUACUUUUGGACUUUUACUCAAGUAGGAACGUACUGGGCGACUUUCACCUCUACUUGAGUCAUUUUCUAUUAAGGUAUCUUUACUUUUACUCAAGUAUGACAAUGGGUACUUUCCCCACCACGGAUGUUAUCUCCCUUGCUGUCUUUUGUCCAGAAACAGGCUAUGAAUGGGUGGGCUGCCUGUAAAUGGACUGACCAGGAGAUGACAUGUGUUGGUAAAGUAGGGUGAUAUCUUUAAAACACUGAUUAUGGUUAACGUAGUAAGUUUACUUUCGGUUUUGGAUGCAAUUGUGUGUGACGGAUGUAACCGAACUAUGAGCAAUGCUCUUUUUGCUCCGUUAGCCCACUACUAUAUUACUACCUCCAAUGAUUUCCAGUUAACUACUUCAGUGGCAUUCCAGAUUAACUCGUCAUUAGCAGCGGAUAAGAUCCCCAAAUGUAGGAAUUACCCCAGAAUAUCUGUAAAUUGCUUUGGUCCUGGAGCUAGCAAGUAAAGGCUCUCCUGAGCCGUCCCGACUACGGUCUGGAGGCGCAGCGGGAAAGGUAACGCAGGUCUCCCUGUGAAGGGCCAGGUCAAUAUUGUGUACUGCAGGCUGAGGAAGCUGAAGGCCCACGUCUUGGAGAGCGCUAGGGAAGGGGCUGUGUUCUGGCCUAACCACUGGAGAGUCCAGCUGUGCCCCUGCGUCAGUUGCAAGGUGGGCCAGUAAAGAUGCUUCUCUCUUGAGAUUGUGUGUUUUGCCAUAAUUCAUUCAAAGCACAGUGCAGCCACUGUUGUUUUUAGCUAUUUGAUGUGGAACAGAUUGCUGUAGCUAACCGUUUCAUUGUUGUCUCAGCCCUUUGGAUUGGAUAAAGGUGGAGAGAUGUUUCCAUUGAAUAUGUGUUGUCAUUUCUGCUCAGAGGGGGCCUGCUGGAUGAGUCAGACACUGUCCUAGCCUGUGAGAACUGAGGCACUACAGAGCAAGGAACUGCUAGUCUCAGGCCUGGCAUAAGCAGACGGUUGUACUCUGGACAGCAUUCAGCAACUGGAGAUUGUUUAACUUAAGGAUGGGGACAAUCUUUUUCAUUUAUUUGUUUGGCAGCUAUUAACUGUAGAUGUAACCUAACACAGGGUUUAUACCAUUUGAUGAAAGUAAAAUGUUGUUUCUUCUAUCUCUGAGUUAAUUGAGAAGGAGACUGAACUGAUGGCUUUCCUACAGCAGAUUGCUGAUGAAGGAAAGGUCAUCACAGCAGAAGCCAUCCACCAAUUAUUUGGGGAGCUGAUGAAGAAGAGGCAACAGAUGAACAGCUGAUGUCAUUCUGCCCCACGGUGUCCUGUUGUUUACUUGUGCAAUUUUGUAAUGUUACUUUGGGUUCAUAGCAAAAGUUCUGUCCACCAAACACCUUCUGCUUUAAAUAACAGUGCUGCUAUAAAAUAUGCUGUUACUGAGGUUUAUGAAGUUGAAAGUUUUGCCAAAAAAGUUGUUCUCGAAUUGCUCUCCAUGGAUUUCAAAUGGCGUUCCAUGUCUCAUGAGAAGCUGAAGUAGCAUGCUGUUAGCAGGCUUGGAGAGAUGCUGAUGGAAUCUAGUCAUUUUAGUCAUGGACUUACUGUUAUUUGGUCAAUUAUGUCUUAGUUGUCAUUAGAAUUUCAUAAUAAUGUGACACCUGAUGAGGAUGCACUGCCUUUCAUAUUGAAACAGAUCCAGUAUGUGACCAUUUUAUGUUGUCACUAGCAUUCCUGUUAAUUAAACAUUUGAAUAGUUCAUCCAGCAUACUCCGUGACGUGAUUAUGUGGCUACUUGUCCUCCAAAUACCAGAAGGUACUUCUUAAAAAAAAAUAUUAAAAAACUUUUUACCC